rnacentral:rRNA from 1 species
GUCUAUGGCCAUGAUAUCCUGAACAAGCCCAAUCCCGUCUGAUCUUGGAAGCUAAGCCAGGGUGGGGCCUGGUUAGUACUUGGAUGGGAGACUGCCUAGGAAGACCCGGUGUUGUAGGUA